rnacentral:rRNA from 1 species
UACGUAGGGGGCAAGCGUUGUCCGGAAUUAUUGGGCGUAAAGAGCGUGUAGGCGGUUCGGUAAGUUUGCUGUAAAAGUCGGGGGCUCAACCCCCGAAAGCCGGUGAAUACUGUCGGACUAGAGUACGGAAGAGGCGAGUGGAAUUCCUGGUGUAGCGGUGAAAUGCGCAGAUAUCAGGAGGAACACCAAUUGCGAAGGCAGCUCGCUGGGACGUAACUGACGCUGAGACGCGAAAGCGUGGGGAGCAAACAGG